GACGAACCGUGCGAACGUUGUUCGGAUUCACUGGGCUUAAAGGGCGCGUAGGCGGGCUCGCCAGUCUGUGGUGAAAGCCCCCGGCUUAACCGGGGAAGUGCCGUGGAUACUGCGAGUCUUGAGGAGGGUAGGGGCAUCUGGAACGCUGGGUGGAGCGGUGAAAUGCGUUGAUAUCCAGCGGAACUCCGGUGGCGAAGGCGAGGUGCUGGACCCUUUCUGACGCUGAGGCGCGAAAGCCAGGGGAGCAAACGGGAUUAGAUACCCCGGUAGUCCUGGCCCUAAACGUUGGGUACUAGGUAGUGGACUUACAUGGGUUCACUGUCGAAGCAAAAGUGCUAAGUACCCCGCCUGGGGAGUAUGGUCGCAAGGCUGAA
rnacentral:rRNA from 1 species